AAUAAGCGGAGGAAAAGAAACUAACAAGGAUUCCCCUAGUAACGGCGAGUGAAGCGGGAAGAGCUCAAAUUUGUAAUCUGGCCGCUUUGUGGCCCGAGUUGUAAGCUAGAGAAGUGUUAUCUGUGCUGGACCACUUAUGAGUCUGUUGGAAUAUAGCGUCAUAGAGGGUGAGAACCCCGUUCAUGAUGUGGACUACCAGUGCUCUGUGUUACACUUUCAAAGAGUCGAGUUGUUUGGGAAUGCAGCUCAAAUUGGGUGGUAAAUUCCAUCUAAAGCUAAAUAUUGGCGGGAGACCGAUAGCGAACAAGUACCGUGAGGGAAAGAUGAAAAGCACUUUGGAAAGAGAGUCAAAUAGUACGUGAAAUUGUUGAAAGGGAAACGCUUGAAGUCAGACAUGCUUGUGGGGUUCAACCUUCGGGUGUAUUCUUCCACUUUGCAGGCU
rnacentral:rRNA from 1 species